rnacentral:lncRNA from 1 species
ACCAUCCCCACCGUAAUGUCAGUGCUGCAGCCUGGAGGUGCAAUGUUCUUGACUCCCAGACAAUGUGCUGAGCUAAUAGGUUCACUUGAGAUGCAUAAACCAAGGCUGUUUAGGUUUUUUAAUCUAGUACUCGGUUUGGAGUGGUUUUGCAUGACUUUGUACAGAGUAACCCAUUCCUCUCAUUGCCUAUCUUAAUCACCCCUGAUUUUCCCACUCUCUUUCUCCCUCCUGUGCUCUGCUCUUCUGAUAACACCCACUUCCCUGAAAAAUAAGUAAAUAAAUAAAUCUUCACUAAACUAAGAAGGUGGAACACCCCCUCUUUCAGCCUUGAUUGCUUUGGAAAUGUGUGUUCUACCCUGUCCAUGGUUUACAUACCAUGAAUUAAGUUAAUGAGAUGUUUUAGUAUUAUAUAUUAACCUGAUAUGACUGUCUUAAGAUUUUUAAUAUGUGGUGCACUUGCUUUCUUGUGCAAAGUUUGAUUCUGUAGCUCUGCAGAGAACUUAACCAUUUUCCUACCAGGGCCAGUAUAAAAGAGCAGGAGAGCAUGGUAUGAGUAUGUGGAGGUCAAGCCACAAGGAAGGCUGAGAAACCAGGAGAAGACAUUGACCUGAGGCUACCUAGUCACCCAGUGCCCGGAGCACUGGACAGUGUGAGGGCGACAGAUGCCUUUCCCUGGCUUCCCUCAUCCCCUGCCUGGCUCAUUCUGGGAAAUCCCUGCUGCUUUCUGUCCUCCUCAGGGUGGGAGGGCGCAGCCUGUGCUCCCGGAAAGCUCCCUGUGUCUCCUGCUGACCCUAGAGUAGCCCUGUGAGCUGCAGCCAGAUGCCUCCAUGGCUGGGAGAACACAGCUUUCUAACCCAUCCCACCGGCGCAUCUCCGAUAACAAAAACAUGUGACUCAACCUGCAUACUUGGCAGUGAAAGUGGCCAGAGGGAAUUGAAAUAUCUUAAGGAAAAGGAAUUUUUUUUACCCAGAUAUAUCUUCUCCCUCACUCGGAAUUUAAGGAUUUGGCCUUUCUGUGUUUGUAGUGUCCGCAUCAGCGUCAACCCCAUGUCUUCCACUAAGCCUGCGGCAGAACCAAAGUCUGCGCUACCCAAGGCUAACUGUACGGAGGACAGGGACAGCUUGGGUCACCCUGGUCUCACUGUGAUGUCGGUAGCUUCAUAAAUGCUGUAUGUGCUUUAAGCAAGGGUUUUGUUUUUGUUUUGUUUUGCCUCUCAGUUAUUAGUAGCCUAAGGUAAUUAAAUUUUUUAUUUGCUACUUCCUUUGUUGUAUUUUCUGUACUGUAACUGUCUACAGUAUGUCUUUUGCAUAAAAUGCAUAAGGGUUUGGGAUGUAAAUGGAAUUUUAUUCAUAUUUUGUCCAAAUACCUCUUGUAAUUUGUAUCAAAAUUCUUGUACAAUUUUUAUAUUAAAGAUUUAUCAG